CAGCUUCCCAGGUCUUUUCUCCUCUUUUCUCAAGUAGCGGGGCCAAAGAUUGCUUCCAAAUGAACCAUCAUUCAUUUACAAGCACAGCAAGCAUUUUGAGUUUUACCAACAAUUUUCUUUUUCUUGGUACCCUCUGCUUCCCCAUUGCUUAACCCUGACGGAAAAGGAGGAUGUCGUUCGGUUCUCAUCAAGACAAGAAUCAGGCUGGGGAACAAAGAGGAUAGAUAAACGCAUUCAGGACUGGGCUGGAGAACUAGGCAACAGUUGUGAACAUAGCUGUCACUUCUAAAACUAACCAGAAUGUCUCCUGGCUUCUGGGUGACCUUGGACCAAACAUUUCCUGUCCUUCUAAACUCAGCCAUUCUGGGGACCAGAGUUGCCUUGAGACAAAAUGAUAACAGCCUGGAAAGUCGCCUCACUUUUUUUUUAAAGGACGAUGUAAAUUGAGCCAGGAGUAGUGGUGCACAUUUUUGAUCCCAGGGAGGUAGAGAUAGGAGCAUCAGAGUUCAAGGUUGUCCUUGGUUACAUAGGGAGUUUGAGGUCAGCCUGAGCUACAUGGGCAUGGGGGGAGGGGGGAGGGAAAACGACACCAUAAAAAAAUCUUAAGAACUAGCCAAGGUUUGUCUCUCUUGGGCUAGAC
rnacentral:lncRNA from 1 species